rnacentral:misc_RNA from 1 species
AAAAAAUCCUGUAGAGCUAGCAUCUUAAUUCCGCUAUGGUUCAGACUUCUAAUAGCCUCCACUGUGGCCAGGGCUCCAGCAACGGUCGUAAUAAUAGGGAUUUUAUAAGCCAGCGCCUUCCUCCUAAGCUCAAGCCCAUCUUUCGCAUCCAGCGCAUCACCAGCACUCGUGAUCACCAUAACCUGUAUCUGCCCACUUGCAACCAUAUCCCCCGCAUGUGGCCGCCCUUCAUGCAACUUCAGCACCGGCUCCACCGGUAUCCCCUCCAGCUCCAGCACCCGGGCCGUUCCAGAAGUUGCCACUAUUCGAAAACCCAACUCCUUAAACCCACUAGCAAUUGAAGCGAGAUGACGCUUGGUCAAGUCAUUCAAGCUAAGGAACACCGUCCCGCCCAUCGGAAGCUUCUGUCCAGCAGCAAUCUGUGCCUUAGCGAAAGCAACAGGGAACUCAAAGUCGAUCCCCAUGACCUCGCCAGUGCUACGCAUCUCCGGUCCAAGAAAAAUAUCACAGCCUUGGAACUUCUCGA